AGAAUCAACGCUGGCGGCGUGCCUAACACAUGCAAGUCGAACGAGAAAGUGGAGCAAUCCAUGAGUAAAGUGGCGCACGGGUGAGUAACACGUGACUAACCUACCCUUGAGUGGGGGAUAACCUAGAGAAAUCUGGGCUAAUACCGCAUAAUACCUUCGGGUCAAAGGAGCAAUUCGCUUAAGGAGGGGGUCGCGGCCGAUUAGUUAGUUGGCGGGGUAAUGGCCCACCAAGACUAUGAUCGGUAUCCGGCCUGAGAGGGCGCACGGACACACUGGAACUGAAACACGGUCCAGACUCCUACGGGAGGCAGCAGUGGGGAAUUUGCGCAAGUGGGGGAAACCCUGACGCAGCAACGCCGCGUGGAGGAUGAAGUCCCUUGGGACGUAAACUCCUUUCGAUCGGGACGAUAAUGACGGUACGAGAGAAGACGCCCGGCUAACUUCGUGCCAGCAGCCGC
rnacentral:rRNA from 1 species